rnacentral:rRNA from 1 species
CCCUUAGACGUUCUGGGCCGCACGCGCGCUACACUGACCAGUGCAACAAGCAUCCGUCCUUGGCCGACAGGCCCGGGCAAUCUUUGAACGCUGGUCGUGAUGGGGAUAGACUUUUGCAAUUUUUGGUCUUCGACGAGGAAUUCCUAGUAAACGCAAGUCAUCAACUUGCAUUGAUUACGUCCCUGCCCUUUGUACACACCGCCCGUCGCACCUACCGAUUGAAUGGUCCGGUGAAGCCUCCGGAUUGGCGCGCACCUCGGUGCCGCCGAGAAGUUGGCUAAACCUUACCAUUUAGAGGAAGGUGAAGUCGUAACA